ACGUUAGCGGCGGACGGGUGAGUAACACGUGGGUAACCUACCUAUAAGACUGGGAUAACUUCGGGAAACCGGAGCUAAUACCGGAUAAUAUUUCGAACCGCAUGGUUCGAUAGUGAAAGAUGGUUUUGCUAUCACUUAUAGAUGGACCCGCGCCGUAUUAGCUAGUUGGUAAGGUAACGGCCUACCAAGGCGACGAUACGUAGCCGACCUGAGAGGGUGAUCGGCCACACUGGAACUGAGACACGGUCCAGACUCCUACGGGAGGCAGCAGCA
rnacentral:rRNA from 1 species